ensembl:lncRNA
CAUCCUUAUCCCAGGUGAUAUUACAACGUAUCCACCCUUGGGUUAUCAGGCAUCCUUAUCCCAGGUGAUAUUACAACGUAUCCACCCUUGGGUCAUCAGGCAUCCUUAUCCCAGGUGGGGGUGGAAGGUCCUAUAUACAGGGGCAGUGCUCAGUGACAUCACCUCUUGAAACAGGAGGUAACUAAAUGUAUAACAUGGUAAAUCUGAUGUUUGAUACUAUGGAUAAUAUAUGGAUAUCAGUCUGAAAGAAGGGGGCGGCAGGUAGCCAUAGUGGUUAGAGGGUUGGGCCAGUAACCAGCAGGUAGCCAUAGUGGUUAGAGUGUUGGGCCAGUAACCAGCAGGUAGCCAUAGUGGUUAGAGUGUUGGGCCAGUAACCAGCAGGUAGCCAUAGUGGUUAGAGUGUUGGGCCAGUAACCAGCAGGUAGCCUAUUGGUUAGAGUGUUGGGCCAGUAACCAGCAGGUAGCCAUAGUGGUUAGAGUGUUGGGCCAGUAACCAGCAGGUAGCCAUAGUGGUUAGAGUGUUGGGCCAGUAACCAGCAGGUAGCCUAGUGGUUAGAGUGUUGGGCCAGUAACCAAAAGGUUGCUGGAUUGAAUCCCCAAGCUGACAAGGUAAAAAUCGGUCCUUCUGCCCCUGAACAAGGCAGUGUUCCUAGGCCGUCAUUGUAAAUAAGAAU